AUUAUUUUAAAAAAAAUUGAAAUUAUAUUUCAUUAAUUCGAAGUUGGUUUGGUAGAACACUCACUCGAGGUGUGUUCUCUCAAAUCUCUCUCAAGCCCUAACUCUACACUCUCAGAUCUCUCUGCAACCCUAACUUUAACUCUCCACUCUCCUUCUCCAUUUUCACUUUCAUAUACAGAACCACUUCCGAAUCUUAGGGUUUCAUCCUCCUCUUCACUUUUCCUUCAUUUUUAACUGAUUAAAACCACUUUUCUACUAAUUAAAACCCUUUUGUUCUUCAAUUUCCACCAAUUAAACCUCCAUUUGUGUCGUUUAAACACUUUUGUACCGAUCAAUUUUGUGUUUGAACCGAUUAAUCGGUUCAUUUUAAGUUUCUCCCCAUUUUUAGGGUUCCUUCGGUCCAGAAUAGGGUACUUCCUCCAUUUUGGAGUUUUCCCUCAAUCAUUCUGGCUUCUAUUCAUUCGUUUAGGGUUUUUUAACAUUUUCUUCCAAUCAUUCUCCGUUUAUUCUCCGUUUCGCUCUCGAUCUUGAGUUCGUCUCAUUAUUUUGCUGCGUUUGCUCAUCAAGGAAGCUUUGAAGGAGUUCGAGUCGAGUUCGCGUCGCUCUUUUGGUCAUCUCCUCGGAGGCUCUUCCGUCAAGUGGCCGCAAAAUCAAUCACACCCGACGGCGUUUCAGCGCUGCUACUCUUUUGAAACCUAAAGAAGAGGCUGGAUUGAAGACUGAAGGUGCUGUUGGGAUUGUUUUUGAACCAAAAGCAAGAAGUGGUGACAAAAUCUGCUGCGGAGAUUCUAAACGAUCAACAUAGAAAACUUCUGAGGAGGCCAUGACACCAAUUGAAUCUACAUUUUCCUUGGAUGUGGCUUCCAAAUUGGACUGGUCAUUUCAUUGGAUUUAACACUAGCUAUUAAACUAUUCAUCAAUACAAGAGUUGAAGAUUCUCGGUUUGGGGUUUAGAGCCACCACUUUGAUGAUAAAUGGCUAGUUGGUGGAGCUUCAAACAUUGGUGGAGCAAUUCCUGGACAGUUUUUCACCGAUAGCCAAUUGUAUAAGUAAUUUAGUUUACUACUAUGUAAAAGACAAUCAGUUAUUAUUUGAUAAUUUGAUACUAUUUUUUGUUAAUUUGGCAGUUGUGUUUGACAUUUAUCAAAUAUAUAAAGCUUCUAAUUAUUGGAUGC